rnacentral:tRNA from 1 species
GCGCUCGUAGCUCAGUUGGAUAGAGCGCUAGCCUCCGGAGCUAGAGGCCGCAGGUUCGAUUCCUGCCGGGCGCACCA